UACAGAGGUGGCAAGCGUUGUUCGGAAUUACUGGGCGUAAAGGGCGCGUAGGCGGUCCGAUAAGUCCCGUGUGAAAUCCCUCGGCUCAACUGAGGAAUGGCACGGGAAACUGCCGGGCUUGAGUUCGGGAGAGGGAAGCGGAAUUCCGGGUGCAGCGGUGAAAUGCGUAGAUAUCCGGAGGAACACCGGUGGCGAAGGCGGCUUCCUGGACCGACACUGACGCUGAGGCGCGAAAGCUAGGGGAGCAAACGGG
rnacentral:rRNA from 1 species